AUUAAUACCAUACUCUAAGAUAUUUAUUCAUAGUGAGGCCUUUCUUAAGCGGAAAAUUCAAAACUAAGGCAAAUUAAGUUAUGACCUUUAUAGUGGACAGCACAGUUAUGUAUUAUUUGUGUUUACAUGUAUUAUCAGCUGGUAAAAAUGCCAUAUGAUAGUACAACCCAGAGGGUGCUUUUCGUUGUUAUAAGCACGUAUCUACAGGGUGGCGCAAGAUUUUUUGUGAAACGAAAUUGAUUUGCUGGUAUAAAAUUUAAUGCAACUGUUUACUUUUUGGACAGCAAUACUUUUACUCUUAAUAAUUUGGACACAACCCGUGAAAAAAAAGAAGGCGAAGGCAUAAAAACAAAUGCGAAAACGUACAUAUAUUUGUGCAUACUUAUGAAUAUUCAAACGGCUUGGAAUUACCCAUUUUUAGACAUGGUCAUGGAUGUUUGUCAAUAAAUUUAUGUAAACUUGUAUUAAAAUUUGUUUUUCCAAUUUAUUCAGAUAAAUCAUUGCACAUAUUAAAUAUAUUUAGCACAUGUAA